AAGCCAUGCGAGUCGAGAGGGUUUAGACCCUCGGCACACUGCUCAGUAACAUGCGGAAAAUCUACCCUUAGGUGGAGGAUAAUCUCGGGAAACUGAGAACAAUACUCCAUAGGUCUGGUUUGCUGGAACGCUUCCAGACCAAAAGCUCCGGCGCCUAAGGAUGAUUCUGUAGCCUAUCAGGUUGUAGUGGGUGUAAAGUACCCCCUAGCCGUCGACGGGUACGGGCGUUGAGAGACGUAGCCCGGAGAUGGACUCUGAGACACGAGUCCAGGUCCUACGGGGCGCAGCAGGCGCGAAAACUUCGCAAUGCGCGAAAGCGCGACGAGGGGAUUCCAAGUGCCUAUGCUUAGCAUAGGCUGUUCAUUUGCCUAAAAAGCAUUUGAAGUAAGGGCUGGGUAAGACGGGUGCCAGCCGCCGCGGUAAUACCCGCAGCCCAAGUGGUGAUCGUUAUUAUUGAGCCUAAAGCGUCCGUAGCCUGUCUACUAAAUCCUUGGGUAAAUCGGGCAGCUCAACUGUCCGAAUUCCAAGGAGACUGGUAGACUUGGGACCGGGAGAGGUCAGAGGUACUCUGGGGGUAGGGGUGAAAUCCUGUAAUCCUUAGAGGACCACCAGUGG
rnacentral:rRNA from 1 species